rnacentral:lncRNA from 1 species
GCCUGCAGGAACGGGGGCUUGGCUGAUCUGGUUUCAACUAAUUCUAUUAAAUGAAAAGUUCUGUAGAGCAGAUUCCUUCUCAAGCCUCUGUCCACAUGGUGAUUUAAUCGAGCGAAAUUAAAACAUUGCUGCUUUCUGUCCAAAUUGCUGCUUUCUGUGGUGGCCUUGUAGAGAGCUUGGCGGGGGAGGAGGGGAGGUCUGGCUCUGGGUUGGAGGAUGGGGGUUGGCCGGAGGUGGGGUUGCUGGAUGCUCAUGGAGACAGAGGCAGGGCUGAGAGGAUGAAAAGCGGGUGGCAGGAAGAGGAAUUUGGUGAAUUCAGGACUAGGAUGGCAGAGUUCGCAGGACGCUUCAGACCAUCAAGUUCACCCCUGGUGGUGCAGAUGGGGAAACCGAGGUGCAGGUGACCCUUAAGGGAUGUCCCUAGGCUCCUCUGGCUCUUCAGGGCACUGCAAGAAAAUCACUGUAUUUGGAAAGAUGUG